GACGAACGCUGGCGGCGUGCUUAACACAUGCAAGUCGAACGCUGAAGCCCUUUCGGGGGUGGAUGAGUGGCGAACGGGUGAGUAACACGUGGGUAAUCUGCCCUGUACUUCGGGAUAAGCCUUGGAAACGGGGUCUAAUACCGGAUAGGACCUGUCCUCGCAUGGGGGUGGGUGGAAAGUUCCGGCGGUAUGGGAUGAGCCCGCGGCCGAUCAGCUGGUUGGUGGGGUAGUGGCCUACCAAGGCGACGACGGGUAGCCGGCCUGAGAGGGUGACCGGUCACACUGGGACUGAGACACGGCCCAGACUCCUACGGGAGGCAGCAGUGGGGAAUCUUGCGCAAUGGGCGAAAGCCUGACGCAGCAACGCCGCGUGGGGGAUGACGGCCUUCGGGUUGUAAACCUCUUUCGACAUCGACGAAGGGGCCCUGUUGUGGGGUUUUGACGGUAGGUGUAGAAGAAGCACCGGCUAACUACGUGCCAGCCGCCGCCGUAA
rnacentral:rRNA from 1 species